GCCAGAACAGAGGGUUGCCACGGCGAUGAGGUUGGUCUGUCUCCCACGGCGUGGUCUGGGAAGAGCAGCAGCUUGCUCUGACAUUUACUCAGGCUGGAAGAAACAGAGACGAUGGAGCAGAGAGACACACAGACGUGCACACACAGAGAGCUAGAAGAGAGGGCAAAGCGUGAGCAAAUGGCUGUUGCAUAAAGUGGAUGGAAUAAACAAUGGCACCUGGAAAAAAAUCUGAGGGCUGACACACACACGGAGAAUUGGCCGUCGCUUUAGGUAGUGAUGGUGAAAUCGAAGCUUCAUGAAGCAAUGAACCACUUCGACACAUCUGCUUCAAGAAUGACACAUUGCUUCGAAGCAUUUGACACAACCAGAAGAGUGACAUCUGCUGGUCCUGUGUCAGAACUGCAUCCAAGUGGAAACAACUGAAAAAGCCUCAGGACUGCUUGUCUCACACUGCUUUGUACUUGCAAUAAAUGUUUUAAAACGUUA